rnacentral:rRNA from 1 species
UACAGAGGUGGCAAGCGUUGUUCGGAAUUACUGGGCGUAAAGGGCGCGUAGGCGGCCCUCUCAGUCAGACGUGAAAUCCCCAGGCUUAACUUGGGAACUGCGUCUGAUACUGGAGGGCUUGAGUGCGGGAGAGGGAUGUGGAAUUCCAGGUGUAGCGGUGAAAUGCGUAGAUAUUGGGAAGAACACCGGUGGCGAAGGCGGCUAUCUGGCCCGUAAUUGACGCUGAGGCGCGAAAGCGUGGGGAGCAAACAGG